rnacentral:rRNA from 1 species
AUUGAACGCUGGCGGCAGGCUUAACACAUGCAAGUCGAGCGAGCGGCGGACGUGUGAGUAAUGUCUGGGAAACUGCCUUAUGGAGGGGGAUAACUACUAGAAACUGUCGAUAAUACCGCAUCCCAUCAGAUGUGCCCAGAGGGGAUUAGCUAGUAGGUGGGGUAAUGGCUCACCUAGGCGACGAUCCCUAGCUGGUCUGAGAGGAUGACCAGCCACACGGGAACUGAGACACGGUCCAGACUCCUACGGGAGGCAGCAGUGGGGAAUAUUGCACAAUGGGCGCAAGCCUGAUGCAGCCAUGCCGCGUGUGUGAAGAAGGCCUUCGGGUUGUAAAGCACUUUCAGCGAGGAGGCGUUACUCGCAGAAGAAGCACCGGCUAACUCCGUGCCAGCAGCCGCGGUAAUUC